CCCGGUAAAAAGUCCGCUUCCACCCAGCCCGACAGCUCGCCAUUUUCUCCGUGGUUUAUGCGGCGCCAAGUUUCUCGCGAAGCCUGUCAACUGCUUCGGGAUUGGCGAGUGCGGAAAGAUCGCCGGGAUCCUUGCUUUCGAACACUGCUCGCAGCACCCGGCGCAUGAUCUUCAUGUUGCGGGUUCGAGGCAGAUCAUCUACAAAAAUUAUCUUCUCCGGCCGGUACGAUGCUCCCAUGCC
rnacentral:misc_RNA from 1 species